rnacentral:lncRNA from 1 species
GGGAGUGGACGUAGGAGCAAGGGUUAGCUCCGAACCACUAUAAAUUCCUUGUGUUUGCGAUUGCUCUGUUGUUCCUUAUCUUCAUUUCAUUCACAGCACAUAGUAUCUAAUUAAUCAACUUGCAAAAGGUGUUAAUUAGUAUUUCAUAAAACAUUUAAUUGUAAUAAUUAUUUUAAAACCCAAUUCACCCCCCCUCUUGGGUUGUCUAUCUGGGCAACA